rfam:Parcubacteria bacterium GW2011_GWA2_53_21 TY79_C0003, whole genome shotgun sequence.
GGGGCUGAUCGGUCUCGAUGGGAGCCAUUCGGUCUUCUGCGCAAGCCGAGGUGCGUGUCCCUCGUAAAACCCACGCAACGAAGAUACCUGCCAACUUCUUCAACAAAGUGAAGACGGCAUUUUCCAUGCCGGCCUUCGCUCCGGCGCUCGCCUAAGUACGAGCGCCCAUCCGCGGCCAUGAUGUCUCAUAGCGGCCAGUCGGGUGUCAUAAUCAUGAGGCUUGGAAUCAUGCAUCGUUUCGUCUGACGUGAUUCGACACUGGCGACGAAACACGCCGCGCGAAUGGUGGUCCCGUGCCUGAACGCGCCGUCAUCUCACGGGAAUGAGCUUGGAAGCAGCAGGAGCGCCGUCGCUUACCACACGCGGGUUCGAUUCCCGCCAGCUCCACCA